GCAAUGCUGGAUCCUUUGACCCACUGUGCGGGACUGGGGAUUCAACCUGCAUCCUGGUGCUGCAGAGACACUGCCAAUCCCACUGCCAAUCCAAAACAGAGAGAACUCCUAGUUUUGUAUCUUGAGUGUGGUGGUGGUUAUACAACCAUACAUUUGUCAAAAGUCAUAGAACCGUAUACCAGGAAAAAAACUAAAUAUAACUGUAUAUAAAUUUUUCCUAACUCUUAAAAAAUAAAUUCAGCCCCAACUCCUGGUCCAGAGUUUAGCAUCCUCCUGCUUCUGAGAUCAGAGAAGCAGGCCAUAUGGAGAGGAUGCUAAUCCUAUUCUCUGUUUAUUGACACAGAAAAAAUAUGCAGACUGAACAGAUUUGUGCUCUCGUGUCCAGAGAUCUUGGGUGAUUGCAGAUCUCAACACUCCCUUUAAAUGGAUGGAGGCAAGUAUCCCGGGACCCUGGCUAUCAGCUGCCAAUUCUGUUGCCUAAGGUGAUAUUAUGUUAACAUAUGGUGGCUGCGUGUGAGAGGAGGGUGAGCUUGCUGUACCAUCUCCUGUCUGUGUGGGAGGGGGGUGUGCUGCUCUCUCUCUCUCUCAAUCUCAGGUUCACAGUCCCUGAAGGUAACUAUUUAUUCCAAGAUUAUUUAUUAAGGUCCUAUAAUAUGAGGAGGGCUCUACCCCACGCUGUGAGCACUAAGACUGAGCUACUACGUGUCUCGGUCAAAAAUGGAGCGUCCAACCGAGGGUGAGCAAUAAGACACGUGACUCAAUAGCGAUCAUUCAACCCAAUUAUGAUAAAUCCUAUCAUAGCGGUUUUCUCACCAGGCCAUGGCUGUUGAGAGGAGGAAGUCUUCACUUCCUGCCAGGAACAUCAGGAAAGGGUUAUUUGGCAGAGAGGGGGCAUUUGUCCUCAACCUUAAGGUUCUUCGUUCCUUAGCUUGGGUCCUGUCUGGCUUGUUUCCUAGUUUUCCCCCAGAUCCAGUCCAGCCACUGAUAGGCUAUGAAUACACCAGUGUUUGAGAAUUAAUUAAUAAAAGACGGAAAAGAAAGACACACCCCAAGGGACAUGGCCUGAACACAGACAUGCAGGCAGAUGUUUAAGCGUGUCUGAGAAACUGAAUGUUGUUCAGUUUGGCUGGAGUACGGGGGAGCUUGUGAGAAGCAAUGUUUCAAAAUUGCAUUGAAAUUAAACCAGAGAUGUUCUUCAGUGCCACGUUAAAUAACUGGAACUUUUCUCGGGAGAGGAAGGUACUGAAGGAUCUUGAGCUGAGAGAGAUGUGAUCGGUCUGUGUUUUAAAAUGAUGUCAUUUGACAGUGAUUAGGAGAGGGUGACAAUGAGUGAUUAUAUAAGCGGUAUUGGAGCGAAAUAGACAGACUGAGCCUGAGGCACGUCUACCAGCUCAAGCAUGACUUGUGGAAGGCUGGGGUUGGAAGACGGCACUCGGGAAACAGGAGUCAGAAGCCCUGGCAUCAAGUCCCACUUCUGCUUCUAAGCUAUGGGACAAAUCGUGUAAGUUUCUGAAGCCUCAGUCUUUGUAUCGAUGAGGUUCAUGUGCAAAUGAUAAGAAAGAAUAUCUGUGUGGGCUGUGUAUAUUGUCACGAACUCUAUGAAUGUGAGAAGUAUUAUUAUUUGAGUCUCAGCUGUCAGAAAGACUGCUACUGCAAAUAUUUCUGGCAGAGAUGGGACAGGAAUGGGUGACCGCAUGAUUAUAGGGAGUGAAGGAGCUGAAACUAUCAAAAUCACUCCAGGAUUUUAAGUCAGAGCUGGCUGGGAGACCAGUGGUUACCUUAACAGAAAACAGAGCUGUCAAGAGAGAAAGUUUAUUUUGGAAGAAUGAUGUCAAAUCCUGGGGUGGAUGUUGAGUUUGGGAACUUCCAUAAGCCAUGGGUGCGGUCCUAAAAAAAAAAAAAAAAAAAAGGACUGAUGAGAAGAAUUCCUGCGAGUUCCCAUUGUGGCUCAGUGGUAACAAACCUGACUAGUAUUCAUAAUGAUGCAAGUUCGACCCCUGGCCUCACUUACCGAGUUAAGGAUCUGAUGUUGCCGUGAGCUGCGGUGUAUGUAGUAGAUGUGGCUCAGAUCUGAUGUUGCCAUGGCUGCGGUGUAGGCCAGCAGCUGCAGCUCUGAUUCAACCCCCGGGGCCCGGGAACUUCUAUAUGCAGCAGGUGUGCAGCCCUAAAAAGACAAAAAAAAAGAAACAUAGAGAAAGCAGGGGCUUAAGGGCAGGGGCUUAAGGGCAUCUGCAGUCACUCUGGGGAAAACCUCCAAGGCAAGGAGCAGGAGGCUGUGAUCUUUCAAGAUCCCUGUGACUCUGAAACUCAAUGGCAUGAAAUUCCACGGAUUCCUUCUUCCGGACACACCAAACUUACAGCUACUUGCAUAACAACUGUCUAUGAGAACAACCUGCAGGUGAACAGGAAAGAUUUUCCACAACUAAAGACACAAAGAAGGGAAAUCCCACUGUGGCCCAGCAGGUUAAGAACAUGACUAGUAUCCAUGAGGGUGCUGGUUCGAUCCCUGGCCUCGCUCAGAAGGUUAAGGAUCUGGCGUUGCCACAUAGGUCACAGAUGCGGCUCGGAUUCCAUGUUGCUGUGUCUGUGGUGUAGGCUGACAGCUGCAACUCUGAUUCAACCUCUAAUCUGGGAACUUCCAUAUGCCAUGAAUGUGGCCCUAAAAAAGGAGAAAAACACAAAGGAGGAACCACAGCAAUAUGAGUAGGAGGGGCAGACACAGUGUGGUCAGGACGCACACCCCUGGACUGGCGACUUACAAAUGGAAGGACUAUCACAGUCACAGAGGUCCCCCCUAAGGAGUGAAGGGUCCAAGCCCCACUCUGGGCUCCUGAUAUCCAGGGUCCUAUACCGUGAAGACACUCCUCCAGGAUCUGGCUUUGAAAACCAGGAGAACCCAAGGGUUAUGGGGCACAGAGACUUUGCUCUUAAAGGGUGCGCACAAAAUCUCAUACUCCUGAGUCCCAGGGCGGAGGCAGGAGUUUUAAAAGGAGCCAGGGUCAGACCUACUUGCUUAUCUUCGUGAGCCUUCUGGAGAAACGGGAGGCAACUGGAACUCCCCCUGGACAUGGAAAUGCUUUGGGAAACUCAUUCUACUCAGAUAACAUCAAUGCUGGCUAGGAGUGUUCUGGAAUGCUCCCUAUUCCCUAAGAAUGCUGGGUACACAGCCCUGCCCACUAGCAGGCCAGUGCCAGCCUAGAGACGUUUUUCUAACCACGAAAUACAGUUGGCUACAGACACAUGAAAAGAUGCUCCACAACACGAAUCAAAUGAAAGCCACAGUGACAUCACACCUGUCAGAAUGGCUCUCAUCAGAAAAACAACAAAGAACAAAUGUUGAGAGUGUGGAGAAAGGGGGAAACCUUGUGCACUGCUGGUGGGACUGCAAACUGGUACAGCCACAAUGGAAAAUACUACAGAGGGUCGUCAAAACAUUAAAAAUAGAAUUUCCAUAUGAUCAGCAAUUUCACUUCUGAGUAUUUACCCAAAGAAAACAACACACUAAUUCCAAAAGAUAACUGAACCCCAGUGUUUGUUGCAACAUUAUUUAUAAUACCCAAGACAUGGUGGCAAUCUAAGUGUCCACCAAUAGAUAAAAUAAUAAAUAAAAUGUCAUGUAUAGAGUUGACCUUAGAGCAAAAUCUUAGGCGGCUGACCUCCCCACCCCAUUUGCUGUCAAAAAUCUGUAUAUAACUUGAUGGUCCCCCUCUGUGUCCUCAGGUUUCACAUCUGUAGAUUCAACCAAACACAGAUUGUACAGCAUUUUAAUGAAAAAAAUAUUUGCAUGGAAGUGGACCCAAACAGUUCAAACCCAUGUUGUUCAAGAGCCAAGUGACUAUAUAAUGGAACAUUGGCCAUUAAAAAAUGAACUCUUGCCAUUUUUGACAACAUCCGUGGAUCUCGAGGGUAUUGUGUUAAGCAAGAAAAGUCAAAGACAAAUACCAGAAGAUCUCACUUACAUGUGGGCACCUAAAAAACAAAACACACAAAGCAAAUAAAAUGAAAACACAUUCAUUGAUACGGAGAACAAAUGGUGGUUGCUAGAGAGGAGAGGUUGGAGGGGAAUGGAACAGGCUAAGGAGAUGAAGAGGUACAAACCUCCAGUUAUAAAAUAAAUAAGCCACUGGGAUGUAAUAUGCAGCAUAAGAAAUCUGGUCAAUAAUAUUGUAAUAACUUUGUAUGGGGACAGAUGGCUACUAGACCUGUGGGGAUCAUUUUACAAUGUAUGAAAUUGUCAAACCACUGGGCUGUACAUCUGAAACCAGCAUCAUAUUGUACAUCAACUACAUGUCAAUUUAAAAAAUUGUGGGACUUUGCAAGAAAAUUAAUACUACUUUGUCAUCAUUUGAUAUACAUUUGCUGGCCCAAACUGCAACCAAAACAAAUUUUCUUCUAUAUUUAUAACCAAUAUUGUCCUGGAAGCAUCACUUUCUUAACUUUAGAAUUUAUUAUGAUUUUCUUAGAAUUCAAACACUGUCUAAACACAACACAUUUCUUUCUUCUCUUUCCUUCCACAUUUUAAGUUAGUGGAGUCAUUUCCUUUUCACUUAUUUCAACGUAUAGAAAUUUGAAAUACAAAUGGACUAAAAUUCAAUUUCUUCACCUGGCAUUGAAGUCUGUUUAGAAUAGACUUGGGCCUAGAGCCAUGUUUCUCAAUGGAGAUCCCAAGCCAUAUCUCAUUUUCACACCACUCCCAGCUCUCCUCCUUCAUAGACUCUUGGGUUCCAGGCAGAAUGGACCCCAGCAAGUAUAAUUUCCCAUCUUUGAAUCUUUACUUAGGCUCCCCUCUGCCCCCAAAGACCAGCAUUAAGACCCCAACUCAAAUCUUUACCCUGUGCUGGGAAAUAGCACACAGUCCAAUUUAGUCAGUUUAGAUUUAUUAACCACAGCAGAUGAAUUUCUAAUAGCAUGUAACUCUAAAAUGUCAAGACUUAAGGAAAUAACAUUACAUGUAUAUAUUUUUAAAAAUCUUUCCAGCACUUCCAAAAAUGCUUUGAAGGUCACGCAAAUGUCAAUUGAAUACUUGCCUUUCUGUACUCCCAUAGCACUUUCCUCUGUGUGCCUAGUACAGUAGCUAAAAUAUUCCCCAAAAUGUUCAGUUUUGGAGCAUAUCAGCUAGAUUUUCUAUAUCUUUAUAUCGAAAGGGGUCAAAUUUGAGCUAUAGCUGCUGGCCUACACCACAACCUCAGCAAAGUGGGAUCCAAGCCAUGUUUGCAGCCCAUACCACAGCUCACAGUAACGCCAGAUCCUUAACCCACUGAUGGAGGCCAGGGAUCAAACCUGCAUCCUCAAGGAUACUGGUCAGAUUCAUUUCUGCUGCACCACAGUGGGAACUCCGAUAUCUUUAUAUAUCUUUGUAUAGCCCCAACAAAACUUAGCAUAAUGCUCUAAACAUAGGAAUUCUUAAUAAAUGUUUAUUGAAUUCAGUUCGAUUUUCCAUUGAGUUCAACACUGAAUUCUUCAGGAAUUUAAGACUAGAGUAGUAGAUUUUUAAAAAUAAUUAGCUUUAUAAGUACUUUUCUGGUACUACCUUUCAAAUCCUUGUAAGAUUAACUCGUGGGUUCUUUUUCUAAGUAACGUUAUUGUAUCUAAGGUAUUCACCGUAUUUAAGGUAUCUUUAAUGUAGUGAGAUAAAAGCACAUAUUCCCUGUCGGUACUUUUUCCUUGAGAUUUUUUUCAUUCUGAAAGUCAAGAAGUUCUUAGAGCCGAUGAUAAGGAAUAAAAUAAAAAUAUAAAAUUAACAUAUAAGAGGAGAUGUACAUGGGACGUGGAAAUUGAAAUUCACAUUGACAUUGAGGUCACAUUUUUAAAACAAAAAAAGAUGAAAGAACUAUAACAUUUUAAAAGUAAUCUUUCCAAAUCUGAGGCAGAUUCUCAGAUGAAAAGAAAGUAUACCUGAUAUGACAAACACAGACUAUAGAAAAGCACCCAUGAAAAGUGAAUGUGACUGAAAGAGAAAUAUCAAAGCUGUUCUGAAGCCAGCCCUAGAAUACGAGGAAUCAAAAGGUUGAAGAAAUGUUUGGGGGAUCAUCAUUACACAGUGGUUAUAAUGAGCAACACCCACCUGAUACUAUCAUCUGUAUCACGUUAACAAGACCAUCAGCAUUUUGUUGAAGCAAGUUUGGCUUUUGAAAUGAACAUUUUCAUGUUUUGCAACCUGGUCUUCCUGACUUCUUCCUUUCACUGCUCUUGUUAGAACAUUCAGAGAAUAUGACAACUACUCAAGCAUCAUGUCCUCUCAAUUUCUGUCUCCUUACAUAAGGAAAAUAAAUUCCUUCUAUUCAAAAAAAAAAAAA
rnacentral:lncRNA from 9 species